GUCUCUGCGGAGAUAUUUGAUAAAAUUGGAAUGAUACAGAUAAGAUUAGCAUGGCCCUGCACAAUGAUGACACGCACAAACCAACACAUGGUCCAAGUUUUA